UGAGAAAGAAACCAGUACCUAGGAGGAUUGAUGAAGAAAUCGAAGUUAACGGAGAGAGUCGUCGGAGAUGACGUCGGAACCCUAAACCGAAUCAGCGAGUUGCCGGACUCACUCCUUGUUCGAAUUAUCUCUCUUUUGCCGACGACGAACGAUGCUUUCAGAACGUGUCUUGUCUACAAACGGUGGCAGUAUCUCUGGACUUCUAUUGAUAACUUAACUUUAGUCUGUAGAUCCCGUUCUAAAGAAGAAAACUUCGCGUCCUUUAUGGACUAUUUAUUUGCUAAACGUACUUCUUCUAAAAUCAGAAAAUUCCAUCUCGAAAUUUGGGACAUGCCUAGUUACAACUUGCAAAUCAAACAAUGGCUUAGUUAUGUUAUAAAAACAAGGUCGAAGAUGUUCGAUUGAAGUCUAUUUAUAAGAGGUCCUGUUCAUCUUCAGCUCGACGGAGUGCUGUGCAAAUAUUUUUCUAAUGCAGAAUGCCAAUAUAUGGGUAGUUGUUAAUAUAAUAAGCAUAUUGAUGGUUGCCGCUGCCCCGCAUCCAUCUUAUAUCGAUGGUUUCCCGCUGCCCCCUUGAGUCAAGUUAUUUUUGCAAAGUAGAAAAUAUAGAUGUAAAGGGCUGGAUAUCAAACUCUACAUUUCCCUGUCUCAGGAGUGUUAAUAUUAUCUGUUUCACUGGGAUGUGUCAGAAGGAGCACCAUAGUAAGCUUUUUGAACUUACAAUUUCUACUAAAGAAUGCAAUGGUUUUGGAGAAUAAAAUGCUGGAAAUGUGCAGAGAUUUAGCUGUGAAAUUGUUAGCUUGCCCAAGACCCUCCAUCCACUUUACUGUGAUUUUCCGUGACUCAGAUUUCAAUGACUAGAAUGCAAGUGUUAUUAUUUCUCAGCUCACCAGAAAUGGUGCUUUAUGAUAUAUAUUCUUUUUGUGAUGUUACCCUUAUGGGAGUGUAUGCCAGGUGUUAUGGAUACUUGCAUUCUCAUGAAGCGUUUAUUGUUGCAUCUA